ensembl:lncRNA APOC1P1 apolipoprotein C1 pseudogene 1
CCCAACCAAGCCCUCCAGCAAGGAUUCAGGGUGCCCCUCCGGCCUCGCCAUGAGGCUCUUCCUGUCGCUCCCGGUCCUGGUGGUGGUUCUGUCGAUCGUCUUGGAAGGGAUUGGUUUUCAGAGACAUUUCGGAAAGUGAAGGAGAAACUCAAGACUGACUCAUGAGGACCUGAAGGGUGACAUCCCAGGAGGGGCCUCUGAAAUUUCCAACACCCCAGCGCCUGUACUGAGGACGCCCUCCAUGUGUGUCCAAUGUGGUCACACGCCCAGGUGUGACCAAUAAAAAUCCUAUGGAAAAUUC